UAGGGGGAAUCUUCCACAAUGGGCGCAAGCCUGAUGGAGCAACACCGCGUGAGUGAAGAAGGGUUUCGGCUCGUAAAGCUCUGUUGUUGGAGAAGAACGUGCGUGAGAGUAACUGUUCACGCAGUGACGGUAUCCAACCAGAAAGUCACGGCUAACUACGUGCCAGCAGCCGCGGUAAUACGUAGGUGGCAAGCGUUAUCCGGAUUUAUUGGGCGUAAAGAGAGUGCAGGCGGUUUUCUAAGUCUGAUGUGAAAGCCUUCGGCUUAACCGGAGAAGUGCAUCGGAAACUGGAUAACUUGAGUGCAGAAGAGGGUAGUGGAACUCCAUGUGUAGCGGUGGAAUGCGUAGAUAUAUGGAAGAACACCAGUGGCGAAGGCGGCUACCUGGUCUGCAACUGACGCUGAGACUCGAAAGCAUGGGUAGCGAACAGGAUUAGAUACCCUGGUAGUCCAUGCCGUAAACGAUGAGUGCUAGGUGUUGGAGGGUUUCCGCCCUUCAGUGCCGGAGCUAACGCAUUAAGCACUCCGCCUGGGGAGUACGACCGCAAGGUUG
rnacentral:rRNA from 1 species